GACCGAACGUCUGCGAGCUCGGCGGGGUCUGCGGGGGCGGGGGCGGGGGCGGGGCGAGUGAGGGCCGCGCUACGACCGGGACCUGACCUGCACCAUCACCCAGCCGAUUUCCUGGACAACCUCCGUGAGACACAGCGACAACGACUGGGGGCUCCGCCUCGUGCGCCUCCCCCGCUGCCGCCCAAGCCACCCACACUCGUGUGAACGACACCGGCCGCUCGCUCGUGUCGCGACCUCCUCUGUGAUAUACACGCCGACAGCUGUCAGACGUCCUGUCAGUGUCAACUGUCAUGAGUGCGCUGUCAGCCAGGACAGCCGUGAACAUCCAGCAAUCGAGACAGCAUCUAUGACCGAACAAGAAAAUAAUGAACAGUAUUCAGUAUUGAAUAGACUCCGGAACAACGAUUCGCUGUAUGUCAAAUGUUGCUAGUUAUUGUAGACUCCAUCAAGUACAGUUAACAACCUCAUAAAUAUCUCACCUACUCUAAUUAAUCAUCAGGCAACUGACAUUAAUCACUGCUGUAUUUUAUGAUGAGUUUAUUUUUAUAUAAUGUAAAUACCUCAACCAAUUGACAUCUAGGUAGUAGUAGGUAGGUAGUCUUCAGUUGGCCGAAUGUUUCGCCCCACUUGACAAUAUUAUUACUAAAAAAAGCUCAAUGGGGUUUUAUCGUACCCGUGACCCGUAAACAUGUAUAAUAUAGUAUUAUUGUUGUAAAGUUGCAUUUAAAAUGUUAUUUAUUGUAUUUGUAAGUAAGUCAGUUUAAUGUUCAUCAAAUGUUUUGUAUAAUUAAUUACAAUUAGUGUAAAUAAAGGGCUUCCUUGUAUGAAAACAUUUUGUUAUGAUGUAAAUAGUAUCUUGUAUAACACAUAAUUAUUAUAUCAUAUAAAAAAUCUAUACAAUCUGCCCUUGUUGCGGUGAAUAACGUUAAUACACAGUAAUUUGUGAGUUAUAAACUAAAUUUCCUUAAAUCUUAUAAGUAAAGUUCUAAAUAAGUAUGUAAUAGAAAUGUUAUAAGUUGUAAUUCCUUGCGUGACCACUGUUGCCUAUAAAUACAUACAUUGGUACAUGUUAUUUCAACACUCCUUGAGGGUCUUUUAUUGGUGUUAAAAAUAAUGGCGAUACGAAUAAAUAAAGAAUCUCAUAGUCAAAAAGUUAUUGCCAUUUAUUUUAUUAAAAAAUAAACAGCAGUUUACAAAACAGUUAUCAACAAUGAUGCGCCCUGCCCAUUACAAUGCAGUGCCGCUCAGGAUUCUUGAUAAAACCCAAAAAUUCUGCGCGCCACUACAACUGCGCUCGUCACCUUGAAACAUAAGUUAACUUGAAAGUUAAGUCUCAUUUGCCCAGUAAUUUCACUAGCUACGGCGCGCCCUUCAGACCGAAACACAGUAAUGUUUACACAUUACUGCUUCACGGCAGAAAUAGGCGCCGUUGUGGUACCCAUAAUAUAGUCGGCAUCCUGUGCAAAGGAGCCUCCCACUGGUGAAUAAUAAUAAAUAUACUGCAAUACACCCUAUUAUACGUUGUUUCACCUAUUAGCAAUUUAUUCACUGGUGAUCUAUGAGGCACCUGUGAGGCAACAUAUUUAAACGCGUUUCUCUCACUAUUUCUACUUCUUAUUUAGAUUCUCACUCUGGGUUCAAUAUCGGUGAAAACUUGCAAAAUAAUUUAUACCUAUGAAUAUUGUUUUUUUAUAAGUCCUAAUUAUACGCUAUAGAUAGAUACUAAAAUAUAAUAUAUUAUGUACAAGAAUUUUUCGUUUUAAUAUAUAAGAAUGUAACUGUACAUAUACAAUAGGUAUAUAUUUUUUGAGAGAUUGUGAUAGAUAUUAGAGAGAUACAAGCGGGAGUAUUAAAGCACAUUUAGUUAUUAUAUUGUUGUCAUUGUAAAUGGCUACUAGCAUGUACUGGCUAUUGAGAGUAUAUUUUGUAAAUGAAGUGGUCCAAAUCACUAUUGUUUAAAAUAAAUUAAUAAUUAUUUAA